rnacentral:rRNA from 1 species
UGCUUAUCUUACUUGCCAAUUAGUGGGGGAUAACUCUGGUGCGCCAGAACUAAUACCGCAUUUGUUGCUUCGGCAAUGAAAGGGAAUCGCAAGAUUUUCGCUAAUUGAUAGGGAUAAGUCGUAUUAGUUUGUUGGUGGGGUAAUGGCCUACCAAGACGAUGAUGCGUAGCCGGGCUGAGAGGCUGAUCGGCCACAAGGGAACUGAGACACGGUCCCUACUCCUACGGGAGGCAGCAGUGAGGAAUUUUCGGCAAUGGGGGAAACCCUGACCGAGCAAUACUACGUGAAGGAGGAAGGUCUACGGAUUGUAAACUUCUGUUAGUGCGGAAGAAGGGCUGAAUGCAAGUUCAGCCUUGACGGUACGCACAGAGAAAGCCACGACUAACUACGUGCCAGCAGUCGCGGUAAGACGUAGGUGGCGAACGUUAUCCGGAAUUAUUGGGCGUAAAGGGUGCGUAGGCGGCGGAAUAAGUUAGUGGUGGAAAAUCGGGGCUCAACCUCGUGGAAGUCAUUAAUACUGUUUUGCUAGAGGACAGGAGAGGUUAACGGAAUUCCCUGUGGAGCGGUAAAAUGUGUAGAUAUAGGGAAGAACACCAAUAAGGCGAAGGCAGUUAACUAUUCUGUUCCUGACGUUGAGGCACGAAAGCGUGGGGAGCAAAUAGGAUUAGAUACCCUAGUAGUCCACGCCCUAAACGAUGAGUGCUAGACAUUGGAAACUUGAUUUUCAGUGUCGCUAGAUAACUCGGUAAGCACUCCGCCUGGGUAGUACGCUCGCAAGAGUGAAACUCAAAGGAAUUGACGGGGACUCGCACAAGCACUGGAGCAUGUGGUUUAAUCCGAUGCAACGCGUAGAACCUUACCAAGGCUUGACAUGUUUGGCAAAACUGUGGAAACACAGCGGAGGUUAUCCAAACACAGGUGCUGCAUGGCCGUCGUCAGUUCGUGCCGUGAGGUGUAUGGUUAAGUCCUAUAACGAACGCAACCCUUGGGCUUAGUUGCCAGCAUUCAGUUGGGGACUCUAGGCCGACUGCCUGAGUAAUCAGGAGGAAGGAAAGGAUCAC